UGAGGAAUAUUGCGCAAUGGGGGAAACCCUGACGCAGCGACGCCGCGUGGGUGAUGAAGGCCUUCGGGUUGUAAAGCCCUGUUGGAGGGGAAGAAAGGGCGUGUAGCUAAUAUCUGCACGCAUUGACGGUACCCUCUGAGGAAGCACCGGCUAACUCCGUGCCAGCAGCCGCGGUACUACGGAGGGUGCGAGUGUUAUUCGGAAUUACUGGGCGUAAAGAGCACGUAGGCGGAUAGACAAGUCAGAUGUGAAAGCCCGGAGCUUAACCCCGGAAAUGCAUUGGAUACUGCCUGUCGUGAGUGGGGUAGAGGGGGGUGGAAUUCCCGGUGUAGAGGUGAAAUUCGUAGAUAUCGGGAGGAACACCAGAGGCGAAGGCGACCCCCUGGGCCAUAACUGACGCUGAGGUGCGAAAGCGUGGGGAGCAAACA
rnacentral:rRNA from 1 species